UAGCAGUGUCAUACCAAAUGGAAACAUUCCUUCAGAAAAUCCAGUACAAGAUUUUACUUUGAAGGAAAAAGAUUUGGAGUUUUCUGAGUCAGAAGAAAAUAAUGAUUACGAGACUUUGCAUCUAGGCAAAGGAGUUGAUUUCCUGGCUAAUGUGACGAAGCAAAAUUUCACAGAUACUCCUGCUGGAAUUGAUAACCCAGUAUUUUCAGCUGAUGAUGACCAAAGCGUCUACAUGAAGUUCUCCCCAUGGUUAUCUAGCGAAGACACUGUGGUGCCAUCACAAAGGGCCCGAGUGCAGAUCCCAUACUCUCCAGACAACUUCAGACGGCUCACUCCCAUCCGGCUCAGCAAUAAAUCAACAGAUUCCUUCCUGCUAGCAGAUGGCCCGGAGGAGCGACCCAGAUCUUUUCUCCCAGAAUCAACACAUAUGUGAUAUGGACCAUGACGUUGAAAUGACGGAAUACUCCUCUUCAGAUGAUCAACUAAACCAAAAUGGAAGUGUUUCAGUGAAUCCCCUCCACUUCUUCCCCUCUUGUCUUCAAAUGCCUUGGACACAAAACUAUUCUUCAUUGGAGAACAGAGGGAAUAUAUCUCUUUCUGCUGUCUCUGAGUACAUUGCUUCAUGUGACCCAAAUGUACCCGAUCUCUUCUGGGAAUCGGGUACAGAUAUGAAUAACAAAGAGACAGUAAACUCAGGUUAUUGUUCUGAAGUUAGCUUUAAGUCAGAGAAUUCACAAGAUGAGAAUACUCUGCUUAUGUUCGAAGGGCUGGAAGACUCUUACAUGAAGGAGCCUCAAGAGAAGAAAAUGUUGCUUGAUGUAGAAGCAAAUUACAGGUCUGCUGCAGCCAGACGUGUACAAAGCCGACGUUCUUUCCACAGGCCAAAACCUCUGCAUCACCCUAAGCUUCAGAAGCUGGCAUCUCUUCCAGCAUCUUGCCAUGUCCCUCCUCAUUCCUUGGAACAGGAGGAAACACAGUUGUGAGCCAGGACUUAAUUGAAAGAAGAAGAUGAACAAAGGGCUUUUAUAAAAAUAGAGAGCAACCUCUUGGUUCAUAGGAUCUGCUCUAGGAUGGAUUCAGAUGGAAAGGGACGGGGGUCCUGUGAUCUCAGAAACACUGGAGCUUUUCUGCUGCACUUACAUUUUUAAGUUCUUAUUCAUAAUGAAAGGGUGCAUAGUGAGAGGGAACUAUGACUCCUUGUUAUUUUUUCAUGUAGACUGUUACAAAUAAUCUAUUAUUUUUGGAGGGCUAAACCAUAAAUCUUUUCAAAUGGUAAAUGCUUGGUGUUUCUUUACAUGGAGAUGGUUUAUUAUGCCAUUAUGCCAUAAAUACAUUUAAAGGAAUAGGCUGCAUUUGCUGCUUCAGUAAUGGAAUUAAGUAGUUAUGCUAUAUGAAAUUAAAGUAGGAGAAGCCAGUGGUUAGCCUCUUUCCUUGUAAGUCUACUCUGAUUGAAAUGGAUCAGUGCCUUUUGCAAGUGCAAGCUAAAAAAAAAUAUUUUCCUGCUGUUGAAUAUUUGUGUCACUGAAUAAUUGUGGAAUAUUGUAAAACUUCCCAGGGAGAGGAAAGUCCUGGCAUCUUGAAAUUUAAUCAAGUACUCCAGGAGGGCCACUUCCUUCCUUCACCUUCACUCCCUCAACUUAGUAGCACCGGAAUGAAAGAACAUCCAGAAUUAUCUCAGAAUUUUAAUUUGCGUGGUCGCAAGCAAUUAAUUUCAUACUCUUAAUUAAGCUGCUCUAUUUUAAAAUAGCCUCACUCAGACAGAAGUGUAAAUAUUUGUCAUUUUUACUGCUGCUUUGGAAGACACCUUCCAAACACUGUUAGAUUAUCCGGUUAAUUUAUGUAUCAUUUUCAAUAGGUGAUCAGGAUAGUGGUCUCUCAGAUGGUGUUCUGCAUUUUGCCACAUGGUUUAAGUGCCACAAAGACUCAGGAUGUUGAUGGUUCAAAAUAUUGUACAGAGGCAGUUGGCUACUGUGCAUGUAUAUACUUACUUGUUUCAGGAAUGUCCUUUUUGUUUUUCUGUGGUUUUCUGUCAAAUGAUAGUUAUGACUGCACUAGACACUUACUGCAUAUGGAUUAGAUCUACAUCACCUUGAAGACAGCUGGAGACACCAGAUGAAAGCCAGAUGAAGAACAGUGAAAGUUCAGAUAAGAACAAAAUAAAAGUGAAAACACCGAGGUCUCUCACAGAUGUAUAAUACUACAUGCCUGUGUAUGUAAUCCUCUGGCCAUUUAGCCUUGGAUUAUUCCAGUCCUGAAAUUUUGGCUUGAAACCUUCAAUGGUAUAAACUGAAAAGGUUCUAUCACAUUAAUAGAGGGAGAGUGCUUUGCCACUAAUCCUAAUGUGUUCCUAUUUGAUAUCAGUGUAAACCACUUGUAAAUGAGCUGUCACCUUCAGGGAGGUAUCCAAAUUGUUUAAGACUGGAUUCUGGACAGUGGCUUUAUGUGGUAAAUUUAACUCUAUCUGUAGGAAUUAAUGAUUGUUUCACUCUACCUACCCAGGUUUUGAGUGGGCUUGAGAUGAUUCUGUGUCAGAUAUCAAAAUAUCCAAGAAGAGUGGAGCAAUGUCCGAAAACUCAUGCCCACAUCUUUUUUCUAUCUUUGUCCUGGAUGCUAAAACUGUAUGUUAGGCUGGUGCAAAUUGCAGAGAUGUGAUGGCAAAUACCAUAUACAAACCUACACAGAUACAAAACCUACACCUCUAGAGACUAGAUUCAGAGAAGAGGCUUUUCUGGUUAUCAACCCACAAGCAGCUGCCUGUUUGGCUUUCAUAUUGGGCAAUGAUUCAAAUCAGUGUCUGUAACUGGAAAGCUUCAUCACCCAGAGCUAGUCUUGUUAAAAUUCAAUAAUGUAAAUACAAUUUUUGUGAAACCAAGUACAUGUGAACAUACUAUUUUGAUCAAGUUGAGCAUAUUAAUGCUGUUCUAGAUAUUGUAACUGGAAAAAGUAUUUUAGUAAUUGGCAUAGAUAUGUAACAGGACCAUGACUGACCCCAAAUGUCAGUACAGGUAAAGUGAAAUGUGCCAAAAUCUAUCCUUCUGCCUCAUAGCAUGAUGAUGAAGUACCAACACCAAAAUUGGCAAGAUGCUCAUCAGGUGUUGGCUUUGAAAUAAAGCUUUCAUUUCUUAUUGGUGUCGUACAAAGGUCAUUGCUGUGCUGCAGUCAGAAAGAGAACCACACUGUGAACUGCUUUCUGCAUGCUUGUUAGACCGUUACCAAUCUGUUUUUGUACAGGCUACCUCAAGGAAACAUUUGUGAAUUGUCAUCAGCAGAUGGGAGUUUUCACCACAUAGAUGUUGCACAAGCAAGAGUAUGCAAUUUUGAAAAUCACAGGAUAUGUUUUUAUUGUUGUUGUAAGCUUUUAGGCUAAAGAAAAGAGGAUCCAUAGACAUCACCAUAUUUACAAACACAGCAGUCUCUGUGAAAAGUCAGCAGGACCCAGUAUGUUUUUGACAGGGCUGUAGUAUUCUGAAACAGAGAGGAACAUCACACCAUUUCAAAGAACAGGACUGGAAAGACACUAUAUACAAAGGGCUUACCUCUGUGUUUCAAAGGCCUUAGGCAUUUUCUGUGUUGCAUCACUACAGCUAAACAAAUGAAAGAUAAAAUGGGCCAUUCUGAUAGCAAAGAGACCUCUUCAUGGAAUAUCUUGCAUAAUUCCUGAAGCUCUUAUGCCCCGGAAGAGGUUUUCUAGUAGAACUGAUUCUACAGCAAGGUUUUGUUUGUUGUAAUUUCUCAGUUUGAAAUGUGAUGAGAAAACUUUCAUGUCCCUAGUUUCCACAUUUGAAAAUGCACUCAUGGCUAUAAAAUAGUGUAUUAUAGUUUCUUUUUUUAUUGAGUGCAAUUAAUAAAUAGACACUCCUAGUGUCUACCAGGGUAAAUACAAAAAAAGCAGGUUAUAACAGCUGAUCAUUUGUUGUACUAUUUUGCAUUUUCUUUCAUUGUACAUUCACAUUUCCUGUGGCGUGUGUACCUGUGGGUGAAAGUGUUGGGUUACUUCUUCAGCACGCUUUAAUCAGCCAAGCACCAGUAACUUCUAUCACAGCAAUAUAAAUUCAGAGCUGCUGAGGGUAUGGCUGUAAGUAUCAGCCUUUUUUUUGCCCUUGUUUAUUAGAUUGGAAUGAUCAGUUGAAAACCCAUUCACCUCUGGUGAAGCCAGUUCAUUCUUACUUCCCUUAAAACUCUGUCUCUAAAUUUUUUUUUUUUGUGACAUGCUCUGUCAGAUAAAGGAAAGCUGGGCAUUCCACAGUUGUUAUUUAUUUAAUAAGUAACUAUGACCUACCUGUUGCAAAAAGAUGAAAUUAAAAAAUAUUUUAUGUUCCUUCUACAUAUUUUGCUCCAUGAAUAAAGUUGUUUUUAACAAUGUUUAUUAUGCUGCACUAUGAUCUAGUAAUGUUAAAAAAACCCAGAAGUGCUGCCUGCAUUGAGAUGAACUCUGUCUCUCUGAGCUGUGAACCUAGUUAUUGAACUAUAUGAAAUUAUGUUUUACAAAUACAUAGUCUAGUCAGAGAUUUAUGUAACAAAGGUUGCAAAAUGAACAUGUGCCUUAAAUUGUCACUCUUUGGAGUGCUGCUGUUUGGAGAUACUUGUGUGUACUUUCCAAAAGGUGUCAAUUUACUUCAUAUAUUUUUAAACAAGUCAAGUUGUUCUGCUAAUGUCUUUAUAGAAAUGUUUUAAUAGUGUAUCAUAAUGAGAAGUUUGGCAAUAAAUUGUAUCACUUUGGUGGAAACACACUGCUUUGGCAAGUGAUUUAGAGAAUCAUUUAUUUUUUACACUUAGAAAAGACUUUGCAUUCAAUACUUGUGAGAAAUACGCUUCUGCUCCCAAAUCAAAG
rnacentral:lncRNA from 12 species